rnacentral:rRNA from 1 species
GACGAACGCUGGCGGCGUGCUUAACACAUGCAAGUCGAACGAAGUGGCGAACGGGUGAGUAACGCGUAAUCAACCUGCCCUUCAGAGGGGGACAACAGUUGGAAACGACUGCUAAUACCGCAUACUGUAGGAGGGGAUUGCGUCUGAUUCGCUAGUUGGAGGGGUAACGGCCCACCAAGGCGGUGAUCAGUAGCCGGUCUGAGAGGAUGAACGGCCACAUUGGGACGGCGACACGGCCCAGACUCCUUCGGGAGGCAACAGUGGGGAAUCUUCCGCAAUGGAGGAAAGUCUGACGGCGCAACGCCGCGUGAGUGAUGACGGCCUUCGGGUUGUAAAGCUCUGUUAAUCGGGACGCGGUACCGGAAUAGAAAGCCACGGCUAACUACGGGCCAGCAGCCGCGGUAAUUC